UACGUAGGGUGCGAGCGUUAAUCGGAAUUACUGGGCGUAAAGCGUGCGCAGGCGGUUCGCCAAGUCAGGUGUGAAAUCCCCGGGCUUAACCUGGGAAUUACGCUUGAAACUAGCGGGCUUGAGUGUGGCAGAGGGGGGUGGAAUUCCACGUGUAGCAGUGAAAUGCGUAGAGAUGUGGAGGAACACCGCUGGCGAAGGCAGCCCCCUGGGUCAACACUGACGCUCAUGCACGAAAGCGUGGGGAGCAAACAGG
rnacentral:rRNA from 1 species